UAACGCGUGAGCAACCUGCCCUUCGGAGGGGGAUAGUGUCUGGAAACGGACAGUAAUACCGCAUAACGUAUUUUUACCGCAUGAUAGAAAUACCAAAACUGAGGUGCCGAAGGAUGGGCUCGCGUUGGAUUAGAUAGUUGGUGGGGUAACGGCCUACCAAGUCAACGAUCCAUAGCCGGACUGAGAGGUUGAACGGCCACAUUGGGACUGAGACACGGCCCAGACUCCUACGGGAGGCAGCAGUGGGGAAUAUUGCACAAUGGGGGAAACCCUGAUGCAGCAACGCCGCGUGAAGGAAGACGGUUUUCGGAUUGUAAACUUCUGUUCUUAGUGAAGAAAAAUGACGGUAGCUAAGGAGCAAGCCACGGCUAACUACGUGCCAGCAGCCGCGGUAAUACGUAGGUGGCAAGCGUUGUCCGGAAUUACUGGGUGUAAAGGGAGCGCAGGCGGGAAGCCAAGUCAGCUGUGAAAACUACGGGCUUAACUUGUAGACUGCAGUUGAAACUGGUUUUCUUGAGUGAAGUAGAGGUUGGCGGAAUUCCGAGUGUAGCGGUGAAAUGCGUAGAUAUUCGGAGGAACACCGGUGGCGAAGGCGGCCAACUGGGCUUUAACUGACGCUGAGGCUCGAAAGUGUGGGGAGCAAACAGGAUUAGAUACCCUGGUAGU
rnacentral:rRNA from 1 species